rnacentral:lncRNA from 1 species
AACAGGAAACUCUGUUGCCCAGAGUUAUAUAUACAUGGUGUGUGGUUUUCGGGUUUGAGCAUAGAUGAGAAUCACUGCCUAUUCUCUUUUUAUUUAACUUUUUAUUGAUUCUUUAUGAAUUUCACAUCAUGCAUCCCAAUCCCAUUCAUCUCCCUAUCCCUUUAUUUUUUUUUAUUUUUUUUAAUUUUUCUUUUUUUUUUUAUUAACUUGAGUAUUUCUUAUAUACAUUUCAAGUGUUAUUCCCUUUCCCGGUUUCCGGACAAACAUCACCCUCCCCCCUCCCCUUCCUUAUGGGUGUUCCCCUCCCAAACCUCCCCCCAUUGCCACCCUCCCCGCAUAGUCUAGUUCACUGGGGGUUCAGUCUUAGCAGGACCCAGGGCUUCCCCUUCCACUGGUGCUCUUACUAGGAUAUUCAUUGCUACCUAUGGGGACAGAGUCCAGGGUCAGUCCAUGUAUAGUCUUUAGGUAGUGGCUUAGUCCCUGGAAGCUCUGGUUGCUUGACAUUGUUGUACUUUUGGGGU